UACAGAGGGUGCAAGCGUUAAUCGGAAUUACUGGGCGUAAAGCGUGCGUAGACGGUUAUGUAAGUCGGGUGUGAAAGCCCCGGGCUCAACCUGGGAAUUGCAUUCGAGACUGUGUAGCUAGGGUACGGAAGAGGGAAGCGGAAUUUCAGGUGUAGCGGUGAAAUGCGUAGAUAUCUGAAGGAACACCAGUGGCGAAAGCGGCUUCCUGGUCCAGUACCGACGUUCAGGCACGAAAGCGUGGGGAGCAAACGGG
rnacentral:rRNA from 1 species